GCCUUGCCAGCCCGCUCAGAACCUUAAAGGAAUUGACGGGGGCCCGCACAAGCGGUGGAGCAUGUGGUUUAAUUCGAUGAUACGCGAGGAACCUUACCUGGGCUCAAAUGUAUGUUGACGUAUUCUGAAAGGGAUACUUCUUCGGACAAUAUACAAGGUGCUGCAUGGUUGUCGUCAGCUCGUGCCGUGAGGUGUCGGGUUAAGUCCCAUAACGAGCGCAACCCCUAUCAUUAGUUGCCAUCAGGUCAAGCUGGGGACUCUAAUGAAACUGCCUACGCAAGUAGUGAGGAAGGUGGGGAUGACGUCAAAUCAGCACGGCCCUUACGUCCAGGGCUACACACGUGCUACAAUGGCCGGUACAAAGGGUUGCCAAGCCGCGAGGUGGGGCUAAUCCCAUAAAACCGAUCGUAGUCCGGAUCGCAGUCUGCAACUCGACUGCGUGAAGUCGGAAUCGCUAGUAAUCGUGAAUCAGAAUGUCACGGUGAAUACGUUCCCGGGCCUU
rnacentral:rRNA from 1 species